UACGUAGGCAGCAAGCGUUUGUUCGGAGUUACUGGGCGUAAAGGGUGUGUAGGCGGUUGCUUAAGUUUGGUGUGAAAUCUCCCGGCUCAACUGGGAGGGUGCGCCGAAUACUGAGUGACUAGAGUGCGGGAGAGGAGAGUGGAAUUCCUGGUGUAGCGGUGAAAUGCGUAGAUAUCAGGAGGAACACCGGUGGUGUAGACGGCUCUCUGGACCGUAACUGACGCUGAGACACGAAAAGCGUGGGUAGCAAACAGG
rnacentral:rRNA from 1 species